rnacentral:sRNA from 1 species
AUAACCGAUAAGACGUCCCGACCGAUGC